CAGUUUUACAACAAAUGCACAUGGACACAAACUUUGCUUUUUGCUUUUACUCUGCUUGCUUCUCUGUUGCUGCUUAUGAAAACUUUAUUUCCUCCUUUAUCUCCCCCUGUUCAUUCCCUUCUUUUCUUUUCUUUUCUUUUCUUUUCUUUUCUCCUCUCCUCUCCUCUCCUCUCCUCUAUUUUACUCUCUGCCAGUUGACAGCUCUGUUGCCAGCACAGCAGCAGUUGUUGCUGCAGCAGGCUCAGGCUCAGCUCCUCGCUGCAGCUGUGCAGCAGUCAAGUGCAGCCCAUGCCGCUCACGCUGCCCACGCAGCCGCCCAGGCCAAUCAGCAAGCUCAGGCAGCCGCAAAUCAGCAAGCCCAGCAGCAGCAGCAGGCAGGACAAACAGGGCAGCAGGCCCAGCAGCAGUCCCAGGGACACGGGCAGAGCACACAGGACCAGACAGCCCAAAGUGUCCCUGUCCCUCCUCCUCCACCCCAGCUCACACUCUCUCAGCCAAUCCAGCUCACCGCCCAGGACAUCCAGCAGUUGCUGCAGCUUCAGCAGUUGGUGCUGGUGCCCGGCCACUCGCUCCCAUCCCCUGCCCAGUUCCUCCUGCCACAGGCACAGCAGGGCCAGCAAGGACUCCUGUCGACACCAAAUCUUCUUUCGCUACCUCAGCAAAACCAAGGGAGCCUGCUGUCUGCUCAGACCAGAAUGGGACUCCAAGCACAGCGAGAUAAAAGUUUGGAUGUUAGCGGCGGUGGAGGCAUGACCACGGUGCAGUCUGUGACCACUCACCCCGAGGAGCCCAGUGACCUGGAGGAGCUGGAACAGUUCGCUCGCACUUUUAAACAGAGACGCAUCAAACUGGGCUUCACACAGGGAGAUGUUGGUCUGGCCAUGGGGAAGUUGUACGGCAAUGACUUCAGUCAGACCACAAUCUCUCGCUUUGAAGCCCUCAACCUGAGCUUUAAGAACAUGUGCAAACUGAAGCCACUGCUGGAGAAGUGGCUCAAUGAUGCAGAGACUAUGUCUAUAGACAGCACCCUGCCUAGCCCCAGCUCCCUGACUUCUCCCUCUUUAGGCUUUGACGGGCUUCCUGGGCGACGCAGGAAGAAGAGAACCAGCAUUGAGACGAAUGUACGAGUGGCACUGGAACGUGCAUUCAUGACGAACCAGAAGCCUACCUCAGAGGAGAUUCUGCUGAUCGCAGAGCAGCUCACGAUGGAGAAGGAGGUGAUCCGGGUCUGGUUCUGCAACCGCAGGCAGAAAGAGAAACGCAUCAAUCCCUCCAGUGCCACUCCUCCCCUGCCCAGCCAGGGUCCCACUGCCUCAACGACGCACAAACAACCCUGCUACAGCCCUCACAUGAUGUCCAGCCAGCUGUCGCAGGCCGUGACCAGUCUCAGCACAACAGUGACUACCAUGUCCCCCGUCUGCCCCCUGACUUCCAGCCUCACCUCCACCCAUCCCUCCCUUAGCUCUGCACCUUCCCCAGUGACUCCUCCUCCUCCUCCCCGCAGCCCAGCCACUCCCAGCCACAGCACACUCAACCUGAACACGGGCUUAUGGCGUAUGGGUAAAAAGAACGGUGACGUGGCGAACUACAUCACCGAUUUUGCUGCAAACUUGAGGAACACUGUGAUGGGAGUUAACACAGGGAUGAGCCAAGCCCUCCUCGGUAACAAUCCCCUGGCUACUAUCCAAGCUCUAGCAGCCAGUGGUGGCCAGCUGCCUCUUUCUAGUCUUGAGGGGGCCAGUAAGGUGAUGCUGGGGGCCUCUGGGGGCCAGGCAGGCCUCCACUCCUCCCUCUUCCUCAACCACCCAGCCCUACUCCACAUGAGUCAGAACCCCGGCGCUGGACUGCUCAGCGCUGCAGUAGCCAAAGCCUCCCAGGCCUCCCCUUUCCCAUCAGCCAGCAGCAUCAGCCCCACCCCCUGCUCUCCCUCCCCCUGCUCAAGCCCCGCCUUUUCCUGCUCCUCCAGCGAAAUGGCACACAGCCCGCCCUCUCUGGGCGGGGCCAAGAUUGAGUGACCGCGCCAAGUGCCAAUCAGAGAGGGGGAGGAAGGAGGAAACAGGAACCUCGCCUUUCACACCAAAGCUAUCUCUUUCUCUCUCUUGCACCCUUCUUCCGUUAAUUUUUUUCGCAAUGUUCCUCUCUCUCUUUCUCUCCCAGUCUUUCGAUGCCAAAAAUACACAGAAUGAAAGAGGAGAGAGGGAGGGAGGGAAGUGAAAGAGGGGAGAAGGGGGGAAAGGGGAAGAUUGAAACCAAAAAUCUUUAUCUAUCCAAACAUAUGGAGAGGAGGCAGCGUGGGACCUUUUAGUCAAUAACACGUGAAAUCGACAUGGCAUCUCUCCGCUCCUUCUCUCUGAAGGAAAACAAACCAAUGACUCUUUAACCAAGAGGCUGAAGAGACGCAUGUCGGAGUGCAUAAACCAAAAAUGACAAAAAGUUAACUUUACUAUGUGACAAAGGAAUGGCGGCAAGGACAAAAAUAAAUGGAGGACUGUGCAUAAGUUUUCCUUCUUUUUAUCAUUUUGAAAAGCUGCGGGUCUGAAGGAAGAGGAGAAGGGACGAUACGUUUAAACCAAAAAUUUACCUGAGGAGGAGGCGGAGGAGGAAUACACAAAAAAAAAAAACGACAACCAUACCAAAAUCCCAUAUACCAAAAACCAAAAAUACGGAGAGAAAAGCUUUAUUCAAAGGACGUGUAAAUACUGAAGCUAUCCAGGACCAGGACUCUUCUGCUACUGCUACUGCUACUCACACACAUAAACACACAUCAGGAGCCAAUCCAUCCAUCCUGCCAUUGACUCAUCCUGUCUGUCAUGUGUCUCUUUUACGUUUCCAUUUUAGAUAUUUUGGAUAAUUUUUGUAAACGAUUGUGACUAAUCGAGUGAAACGCUGGUGUUUGAAUGAUGCCAGUACUGCUGUAUCUUCAUGUGUUAGUCUCUUUACUACCUCUGGUUCUAAGAGCAUAGAUGAGCUUUACUCUGUCCUUUUUUUUUAUUUCAGAUGACCUUAACAGAGGCUUGUGAACCAGUAUUUGUUUUUUUACACUUUAAGAAGUACAGAUGGGAUUUGUUUGUUUUUUUUACUAUUUAUUAGUAUUAUCUUAAAGUACAGCUCCUAUUUAUUGUUGCAGCUUUUCUAGUGCCAUUACUAUUUCCCUCAUCAUCAGUGCCAUUAUCAUCAUCAUCAUUAUGCAUUCAUGGUUUCAUCUUGCAUUUUUUUCUGUCUGCAAUGUGACUUUUCUGCAGGAACAGAGAUGACGAAAGUGAAAAGAUGUUCAUCUCACCAAGUGCCGUAGAUCCAUAAUAGAGCUGGCACACUGCGAGUCAAUUUUGAAGACUGCCAUUAAUUCUCAAAUGGAAACCAAAGCAUUCUCAAGGCUGGCCUGAACUCUUCUUGCAGAGCUUCAGCCAAGACGUAUGAACACAAUAAAGACACAGGAGUAGGGGGGUGAGAACAGGACUUUACCACUGGAAACCCUCCCCCUUCUGAUGUAAUCCCCUCCACCUGACCCGUCCAAGUACCCACAGGGGGAAGCUUUAUUAAGGAAACUGUUCCUUUACUCCGAAACCCCCAGAAUGAGGGUGCACUUGGAGGGGACACGCUGUAGUGAGGGGCAGCAGGCGUCACACUUUUUUUUGUAAAAGGAUACCAAAAAUAAACGCAAACCAAAAACCCAAGGAAUGACCGAAGCAAACCAAAAAGAACCCUUAACCAAAUGUGGCUGGAGGGAGGAGGGGAGGAGGUCAAAGUGCAUCCCUCUUUGUCUGUCUGUCUGUCUGUCUGUAAGCAUUCGCCCCGCUCUGAAACUGUGUAGCAACGAUGGACAGACAGGCAGAUAGACAGGUGAGCAGGGGGGAAAAAAAGGACAGACAGUUCCUCCCCUCCUCUGCCUCUCUCCCUCUCCAGCUCAGCUCUCUCUCUGGUCCUGGAUGGAGCUAAACGCAAAUGACCUCACUGAACUGAAAUCUUCUUUAAAGAAAAAAAAAUCUGUUUUUAUUUUUCUGUUGGUUGGUUCUGAUUGUUUUGAUCUCUGCCGUGUCUCUUGAUGCUGUUUUAUGUACUGUACUUUAGUGCUUAUUAACUCAUUUGGAAUAACUUACUCGCUUACUUACUUACAAGAGCUCCUUAUUUUUUUCCUAGUCGUGCUAGAGAUUUUUAUCAGGUGGUUGAGAAAAAAAAAACUGUGAAAAUUUAGCUUCCAGAUUUUUAUUAGAUAAAGAAACAGACUGUCUUGGCAGAUCUAAAAUAGAGACACAAAAAGCCAAAAGCAAAAAGUUGAAUAGCAAACUUUAACGAUGCCAAACCAAAUACAAAACCAAACCAAACACAGUGGAGAGGAACAGGAAGUGCCCUCUCUACACGAGGGUUCCAGUCAUUAUGCCUGAGGUGAAGCGUGAGGGGUUUUUCUGUUUGUGUUUAUAAGAAACCGAAAUGGUUAAAAAAGAAAAAGGGUCUGCUGUGAUGUCUUGUCAUUAAUCCUGACCCCAGCGACAAAGUAAACACUUCAGCUGCAGAUGAAUACGCUCAGCGCAGGCCUCAGGCACAGUCGACGGUUUGAGAGUCGGACAUUAAACAUAUCCAAAGAAUAUUUGGUUUGAUCCACGCCAGAAAAAAACAGUCGACACACACGCGAGAAUCGAACCCCGAACCAAACUUUAGAUGUGGGGUAGGGGGUUUUAAACCAGGAAGGUGAAACCUUCUCUCCACAUGGACUCUUAGACGGAAUGUAUCUGUUAGUGCUUCUAUAGAUUUUGUAGAAAAAAAGAUCUAUGUUCUACUGCUUACUUAUCGCUAAUGUAUUAAAAUGAAAAAAAAAAACCUACAAAAAAGACAGAGAAAAAAAAAAGAUCCUAAAAACAUUGAUGAUAAUAACUUGAUUUUAGACCAAAAAUUUAAACUAUCUCUCUUUGGACUUUUUUUUAUUUCACCUUCUGAAGAUGAUUUAGACUUUUGAUUGUACUAUUUAUUCAGGGUAGCUUUGAUUUGUUUGCGUGUCUUGCUAUUUAUUUGUUAAUUUAUUUGUAGAGGUGCUUUUUCAUAUUCUGGGAUGUACUUUUUAUGAUUUUCUUUUUUUCCUUUUUUGCCCCUCGCUGACUUUCUUUCUUACUUCUUUAAACCAAAUAAUACAAGAAAUGCAACCAGGGUUCCUGUAGGGACUUAACAAGAGAAUAUGGCUGAUCUGAUGUCGGCCAUAAUCAACUUCUCUUCCUCACUGAGAUGAAGUUUCCUUUAAUAGGAAGCGUAAUCUCACAGUAUGGAGUCAGCACUGUGUGGAUCAACACCUUGUGAGUUAUGGGGGCGGGGGGAUUAUAUCUGUAAAUGCUUUCCAGGGGGUCAUGUCUUCAUGGCUCCUGAUAUAAAGAGAAAAAGUUUACAUUCUGAUUCAACAGGAAAAGCAUGAAUUGAAUUCAUGUGUUGUAGAAAGAGGUGUUGGUUGAGACACAGUGCUGCUUCUGUCCUCUUUAUUUUCUCCCCAGGAGAAAGUUGACAAAAAUCUUUACAGCUACACAACCAAAAACACAGAAGAAGAUCAACGGAGGCAACGCUCAAGUUUUUUUUUAACAUGAUGGACAAGAUGAAGAGAGAAGAAGAGCUCCCAGCUGUAAAUCAGCCUCUCAACUUCUCACUUCAUCUCGCUCUCCUUUUUGUUUAGAUUUGUUUUAAAAAAAAUGUUUUUGUUUCAACUUUUCUCUGAGUUCCUUUGAAAAAAAUUCUUCAUCCACUGUAGGAUGUAAAAGAGAGAUAGUUCAUCAUAUACCUCAUAAUCUUUGAUGAUAAACCAAAUAGAUGAAUGCUUUAAAAUGCGGGGUUACAGAGGGGAUCAGGGUGCCGGGAUGGUUUGUGUGGAUGGUGUGUUUGUGAGGCUGGAAGCAGACACAGUGAGGCUUACCUAAUAGAGAUAACACAGAUGUUUGGGAUCGAUCUGCAGAGUAACAGAUCAUUGAAUAGAUUGCAGAGGGAGACAUUUAAGGUCAAAGGCCUGCACUGGUUCAUGCGCCUGUCUACACACACGCACACGCACGCACACACACACCCUGUCCCCCUGGAAAACACCCCCCGCUGUCUGUGUUGAGCUUUGAACACAGCCCUCUCCUCAGAUCUGACCCUCACUGCUCCCUCCCUGUCAAACACUGAGGACUGUGGGCUUAAAGCUGCUCUUUGGCACAGAUCUAGGAUCAGAUCUGGUAUAAUUUCAAGCUUUAAAAAAAAAAGCUGUGUGUCUGAGAGCAACUUUAUCAGCAAGGUCGCCGUGCCCUCUCUCGCCUUUAGGUCUCCUUUGCCUGAUGAGCGGGCAAAUAGACCACUUGAUGUCCGAGUGUAUCAGGGAGCGCUGUAGGGCAGGUACCUGGGGAACGGCUGAGACCGGGAUAGCUGGGUGACGCAUACACACACUCCUCACAACUCGUGUGUGUGAAGAGAGUCUAGAAGUUGGAGGGAGAAGAGUACAUGUGAGUCCAUCUUCUUGUUUUGCUUCGCUGCUGUGUUUCUGAAAUGAAACUUUUUUUGGUUGACUUCAGGGUUUAAGGGACUGAGUGUGAAGCGCAGGUCUCUGUGGUGGGGAUACCCCCUUAGUGAAUGAUACCAAAGUUAAUGCCCUGCCACCAGAUCCAGCAUGAUGUACACGCUCCCUGAAAUCCUGACGUCCACCAAAGUGUUUCAGAAACUCUUUCUCCACGCCUUCACAUAUUCUCUACAAGCAACAAAAAAUCUGAAAAAAUUAGAAGAUUUCUUUUUAGUAGAAACCUGUAUCCAUUUUGUUACUAAAGUUAAAAGAAAAGUUGAUAUCACACUCAUGUCUUGGACAUUAAUAUAAGUCUACCGCUAGUAGGUAUGGAGGACUACUAAUCAAGUAAAAAUAAAAGCAGGACUCGGCCCACACUGAUUUCCAGUCAAUGCAAACAGGUUGGAAGUUUUCGAGCAAAGUUAUACAUAAUCAAAUAAUCAAACAAUAAAACCACAAUUUUAAAGUGAGGGUUUUGUUCAGUGUGGAAAGGGGAAUUUGAAACCUUUCUUAGUGAGCUUUACAGGUACUAGCAGGCAGAAUUGUUGCCCGUAGAAGUUUAAAAACUCUUAUUCAAACCAAACUCUACUAUUCAGGAUUAGUGGCUCAUAGCUGUGGAGCUCUCCUCACUCUAAAUCAGACUUAUUAUUGGAAAGUCAUUGUCUUUUGCUGUAGGUGUAGAUUCUUUCACUGAGCUUGGAACAAGAUGGAAAAAAAACUGCUUUGAAUAUGAGUGAAUCAAACAGUUUGAUUCAGUAACAUGAUUCAUACAUUCCACCUCACUGACAGGGAUCAAGGUCAGACCUGUCCCCCUGUUUCCAGUCUUAAUGCGACGCGAGGAAAACCGUCGAAGUGCAGCUUGAUUUUUACCAUAAAGGAAGUAGUGUCAAGGUUUAACUAUUUCUUGGCCGGAAAUUGAAUAAGUUUAUUGCUGAAAAUGUGCAACAACCAAUCAGUGCUUGAAGUUGAUUUGAACCAUCUAGAAAAAUGAGUCAGAAAGAUAAUCAUUCUGGACACGACAGCAUGAGAAAUGUGAUUGUUGUUGGAGAAGGAGAGACACGGCAAGCAAAGAAAACAACUGAACAAACCGCAACUUCUUCCUCCACCCACUCUCAUCCACACAAUCAUGCUCUUCCUCUCCUUCUCUCAUUCCUUCCUCUCUCUCUCUCUCUCUUUCUUCUACAAUACAGCUUUAGUCCAAAGGUUUCUCCAGCAACACAGCAAAGCGAGUCAGAUGUUAAAGAAUAAAACCAAAGAGCUCUAACUUGACCUUCUCCUCAACCUUUCUUCAACUCCACUGAAUCCUUCACCUCUCUCGCUCUCUCUCUCUCUCUCUCCAUCCAUCCAUCCAUCCUUUUCUUUCUGCUCUUCUUCUCCUCUUCGUCACCUAGCGAGCCGGUCUGUGAAGCACUAACCUCAGCUAUCCAAAGGGGAAUAAUAAUAAUAAUAAUGAUCAUAAUUAAGAUGAUGAUGAAAUGUAUAUUUUUAAGUAUUUGUCAUUGGAAAAAUAAUCUUAAGCUUCUCAUAAUUAUGAUGAUGACAACGACAGCGACGACAACAACGAUGAUGAUGAUGAUGAUGAUGAUGAUAAUGAUAAUGAAGUUUCUCUUGGUAUCUUUGUAGCUGUUCUGAUCCUUCUUAAGUUCUCGUCCUUUCUGCUCGUGCUGCCAGAGUACCACUUUACUCCCAUCAUCAAUCCCUCCCCCCUUUUUCAUUUGUUCUACCUGAUGUUUGGUCCUAACGUCUACCUGUCUGACCUUAGACCCUGAAUGUUUGUGUCUAUGCCUCUGUAUGUGUGUGUGUGUGUGUGUGUGUGUGUGCGUGCGUGUGUGUUUGUGUGCGUGAGAGAGAGAAAGAGUGAGCAGUCAAACAUUAAAACCAAGGGAAGAUUUUCUCUGGUAGUUUUUUCUUGUUAGCUGUUAAAUAGGGGAAGGAGGGGCUUCUCUCUCUUACAAUUCCACCUGUUUGCGAGCCUGUGUGUGCGUGACAGCAGGGUGGGGUGGGUGUGGGUGUGGCAUAAUACACACAAAAAAAAGACAAAAAGAUUCCUUGUUCUUCAGACAACAAGCCCCCACACAUGACUGUCAACUGUAAAGUAAUGUUUGCCAACUUCUUUCACAUGUAGCUUUAAUCCCCCCUGACACGACAAAAACCCUGCGUCCCAUAGUGUGUGUGCGUGAGUGUGUUGGUGUGUGUACAGGUAUGGUUGCAUUGCCAUUACCCCUCCCUUUGUGUCUUCCAUCAUGUGAGCAGUCCUCCCCUUCUGUCUCCCCCUCUCCCUCCCUCCCCUUCCUCUCUGUCUCCCCCCUCUCCUCCUCCCUUGUGGUAGCAUUUAGCCUUUUAGUGUAUUUAUCUUGAAAACCAAAAAAAGAAGAAAAAUAACUCUACUUGUUCAUUGUACAGUGUUGUUCAUUUUAAGUCAUUUUUGUAACUGAAAGUGUUUCAUUCAUCCAAAUAAAACAGGAGACAAAAACUGUA